rnacentral:rRNA from 1 species
CCUACGGGUGGCAGCAGUGAGGAAUAUUGGUCAAUGGACGAGAGUCUGAACCAGCCAAGCCGCGUGAAGGAUGAAUGCCCUCUGGGUUGUAAACUUCUUUUAUAUGGGAAUAAAAUGUUCCACGCGUGGGAUUCUGUCUGUACCAUAUGAAUAAGCAUCGGCUAACUCCGUGCCAGCAGCCGCGGGAAUACGGAGGAUGCGAGCGUUAUCCGGAUUCAUUGGGUUUAAAGGGUGCGCAGGGUGUUUUUUAAGUCCGCGGUGAAAGUUUGUGGCUCAACCAAAAAAUUGCCGUUGAAACUGGAAGACUUGAGUGUGUUUGAGGUAGGCGGAAUGCGUGGUGUAGCGGUGAAAUGCAUAGAUAUCGCGCAGAACUCCGAUUGCGAAGGCAGCUUGCUGGGCCAUAACUGACACUGAGGCACGAAAGCGUGGGGAUCAAACAGGAUUAGAUACCCGUGUAGUC